rnacentral:lncRNA from 1 species
GUCAAAAUCCCUAGUGAUGCACCAUUCCCAAAUUGGGCCUGGCAUCUCAUCUCUCCCCCUCACCACUUCUUCUUCCAUCUCCGGCCGCCGCCACGGCCAGGCCAGCGUGGCGGCGCGCCAAUCAGCCACCGCCGCCAUCCAUCACCACCACUCCAUCACCACCACCCACCAGCACCACCUCGUGCCCACCAUCAGACACGAUGGCGAGGGUGUCUUCCCCAGUGCGAGGCCGCCCCUUCUUGAUGGCGUGCUUCACCAGACAGGGAGGCAAGGGAGUCUGAACCCCCGCGCGACCCCCCUGCCGCCCCUGACCGGCGAUCCACUGCUCCUCUCCAAGCCACUUCUACUGCUUCUUCUUUCCACCUCCUAUGGCUGCUCUCUUCUUUCCCCACGCCACUGCUGCUGCUCCUCUGCUUAAAACUGCUGCUUCUUCUCUCCCGCGCCCCUUGCUGUUCCUCACUAACUGAACAUCUGAUCUGAACCUCCUCCUUCCGCUGCUUCCCUGCUUCUUCUCUGUAUCUCCCAUACGCUGCUGCUGCUACCUGCUCUCAAGCGUCCACUUACUGCUCAGUUUCAGACUUGUGUUCCUGUAGUGUUAAAUCGGUCAUAUGUGAAUGGUGUUGGGGCAUGUGACUCUAUGUUCUUGUAUGUGUUAAUUAGUUAAAUUUGUCACUUGAGUACUGCACUUGCUGCAUAGUCGUGUUUGUUCAAUUUAUAGUUCCUGUGUUGCUCAAGUACCUGUGAUAUAUGAAUGUGCGGGCGUGUGUUUGAUUUGAAACAAUUAUAUUCUAUCAUAUAUUGUCGCUUCUUCCUACUGUUAUAUGUUUGAUACUAAUGUGUCCUCGUCUUGUAGGUUUACUUGAUAUUGACUCCUGUUUGUGUUAGUAUCUUAUAAUUUCUCAAGUAUUACAAAAAUACCAAAAAGAAAGUUAGUAAAAUCUGAAUCUGCCUUUGCUUAUCUGCAUUUUCAUUGGCGACAAUCUUGAUAGUUUAGGUUUUUUCUCUGUUCCCAUCACUAAAAUUGUGCUACCUAGCUUUAGCCGGGCAUAGUCGCCGUCGCCUAGUCCCUGUGGAGAACACGACAUCCGUAGUUUGGGGCGUAAAAACCCCGCUAUAUUACAAUUGAUCAUUUUGGCGCCGUUGCCAGGGACUAGCGUCGAGCGAUUUUGUUAGGUUAUAGACUAGGUUUUUCUUGUUUUUCCCUUUGUGCUAUCUAUAUGUGAUAUAUCUCUAACCACUAAUCCUUGUUCUAGAUCAUUUUCUUUCUGUUUUCUUUUCUUUUGGCAGGUUAGAACUAUCUUCUCGGUUAUGGCAUUCAACUCAGACCAUCAUGCUUAUGUGAGCAAUAGCACGGAAAGUGUUCAAGACUUGAUAAGUAAAAUUUCCCAUCAGUUAGAUGAUUUAGCUCGGCAGCGAGGUAUAGUUUUUGAGGAUAUGCCUAGCUCUUAUGAUGCUUAUUCCGGAGGCAAUCCUUAUGUUGCUCCUACAUGCCAUAUUUGUGGAUUUCAGGGCCAUUCGCCCGCUAAAUGUCAGCGUGGUUACUCUCACCCUCCCGAUUGUUAUGGCAUGAGCUUCGCCCCACAGCCUAGCUCAUACCAAAACAAUUACACACAUGGGUGGCCUGAAAACCAGAAUAUGUCAUAUAGGAGCAAUAACCCUGAGAUCUCAUCGUUUGCCUCUAGUUAUCCAAUGCAGGGAUUCAGGUACAAUGAGGAGAACCAAAACUAUGCUCCACAACAGUCUUGUCCUGCUCCUAUUCAUAUACCUCAGCACCAGGAGAUGUUGCCAAUGGAGUUAAAUGGUCCUCCAUUUGGUCAACCAACACCUUCAACACAAGUGCCUACUCAACAUGAGUUCGAUGACAUAGACAAGCUCGCACUUUUGAGUCUCGAGUUCACUUGGAGUGCCGAGGAUGAUCCUAUUAGGAAGGUUAUACUAGAUGAAAUGAAGAAGAUCAAGAGUGGAAAAGAGCUAGUGGAAGAAGUAAGGAAGAUUGAGAAGAACAUCAACGCUGGCAGCACUAUUUCUUCACAGCUAGAGCUGAGUGUUGCCAAGAUUCCCCUUGAUACAUGUGAGGUUCCAACACCUUCACAUUCAGCUGAGCAAGAUAGCGAGAGUCCGGAGGAAGAGAUACUUCAGAUCCAAGAAGAAAUUCUCGAAGCCAAGGCACAAUAUGAUCCAGAGCUUGAACAACAAAGUGAUCAAGUUGAAGACUCAUCAUCUAUUACUCUUGAAGAAGCAAAAGAAGUUGAUGUGAUUGAAGAUGAAGAACCAGAAACGCAUUUGCCCAUCGUCAUACAGGAGCGUGAUUUAGCAGGUUUAUCCAAUCCUCUUGAUGACAUGCUUCCUUAUGAGAUCUUUGCUGCUACUGUCCAUUGUGUUAUACCAUCAAUUAAGCUAGACUUGAAAAAUUAUUUGCUUGGACAUGAUCAUACAUACAUUGUUGGUGGCAUUGCUCUCAUUCCUGAUGAUGACACUUAUUUUCCUUAUGCUAGUCGUAUGCUUAAUGAAACAUAUUAUUCCCAUGCUAGUCUUGAGCUUAAUGAUAAAUUUCAUCCUCCUGUUAGUGUCGACCUUACUGAUUUGUACCAUCCUAAACAUGUGCUUUAUAGCUAUGCUUAUGUAAUUGGAUAUUCGAUUGAUGACUUGGAGGGUAUUAUCCCUACCACUUGCAUUGUCUCUUUCGUUGAGUGCUCUUUCAGGUUCUUGCUUGUGCACGAUCCACUACAUGCUGACCAAGUUCGAGAUGACAUUCCCUGGGACCCCGGUGGACCUAUGGCACGGGGAUGAGGAGAAGCAAGGAGCACACAUGAAGAGAGAAGCUGGAGCAGGCAUGAGGAUAGAGAAGCAAAGAAGAAGAGUUGCAGUUUAGAGAGUGUCGAGCGAGUGCUACUUCCUAUAAAAACCCGGUGAGCUGUUUCAUGACCCAUUCUGAGUAUAUCAUCCAUUGAUACAUGCUGAAAUCAAAUGUUAUUUGGGUUGCUUAAGCCAUGCCAUAAAUGUUGCCCCACUAAAUUUUAUUUGACAUAUGGUGCUUGAUGUGAAUAUGUGAACUGAGUGUUGAAUGCCUUGUAAACUAGUGAUCUAUACUAUGCUUGCUUUGCUGAAAGUACUGGAAGCUAUUAGUUUUGAGUGCUCAAAUCCCUAGUACACUAGAAAACUUAAUCAUUUUCUGCAUUUACUAUGAUACACCUAGAUCAUCAAGUGUCAGAUGCUGAGUUUGUGCCUAAUGUGUUCACAUUGAGAGCAAUCACCUAACCACUAUGGAUUAGCAUGCUAUGUUCCCUGGAUCGAUAGCAUGUGAACCAGACAUGGAGAAGUGAUGAUUCCUAUUUUUGUGCUUAUGCGUUGUUCAUACAGUAGCAUGUCAUGUUCCCGGGAUCGAUGACAUGUGAAAUCGGGUUAGCUUGGGAAGUAAUUAAUAAUAAUAAAAAUGUAAUUGUCGAACCAGGUGUAUACCAUGGUCUCGGGAUCGGUGGUAUGUUCCUUCGGGGAGACAAACAAAAAUAAUUAAUAAAAAUUGGUUGAGCCAGGUGUAUACCAUGUUCUCGGGAUCGGUGGUAUGUUCCUUUGGUGAGAUCAAUAAAAUAUUAUCAUUACUUUCUUCAAAUUCAAUAAGUGCUUUCUACUGCAAUGUUGUGUUCUUGGUAAUAAGUGAUCUGAUUACAAGUUUAAGUUCUUUUUGUAUUUUUGGAUCAUGCUAUCUUUAGGAACCUUUUUGGCACAAUCAACAUUUGAAUUUGUUGGUCCAUUUUUAUCAUUGUAAAAGUUUAAAAUGAUUGAGUCUACUAGUAUCCUAUUGCUUUGUAGCACUCUUAACCAUUAAUUUUCAUUAGCUAAGUCCAAAGCAUGCUUUGUUUGGAGAUCUACUUCACUGGGACAUUCUCUAGUUAGCUCACUGUUCACAUUCUUGCUCUUGUCAUAUGCCUUUGCUUGAGGACAAGCAAAAGUUUAAGUGUGGGGGAACUUGAUAAGCACAUUUCAUAUAUAUAAUUUUGGCACAUAAACACACCAUUUAUUGUGAUCCGACGAUCCAUUCUUGCUGUGAACUAUGAUAUAUUUGAAUGAAAAUCAUAUAAAAGAUCAUUUACUCAUCAUUUGAUUAUUUUGUAGAAAAGUGCGCAAAGGCACUAUAAUCUUCAAGAUUCAGACAAAUUGGCCAUUGAGAAGAGAGAAGGGCAGGAAAGAAGUGAAGAAAGGGAGCUGAGCAUGAAGGAAAGAAGAAACUGGGGGCCAAAAGUAAAGAAGGAAGGGCUCUACUUUGGAAGAAAGUAGAAAGGAGAAGGGCCAAAGUAAAAAAAAAGACAGAUCAGGGAGGGGGUCAAAAUCCCUAGCGCUGCACCAUUCCAAAAUUGGGCCUGGCAUCUCAUCUCUCCCCCUCACCACUUCUUCUUCCAUCUCCGGCCGCCGCCGCGGCCAGGCCAGCAUGGCGGCGCGCCAAUCAGCCAUCGCCGCCAUCCAGCACCACCACUCCAUCACCACCACCCACCAGCACCACCUCGCGCCCACCAUCAGACACGAUGGCGAGGGUGUCUUCCCCAGUGCGAGGCCGCCCCUUCUUGAUGGCGCGCUUCACCAGACAGGGAGGCGAGGGAGUCUGAACCCCCGCGCGACCCCCCUGACGCCCCUGACCGGCGAUCCACUGCUCCUCUCCAAGCCACUUCUACUGCUUCUUCUUUCCACCUCCUAUGGCUGCUCUCUUCUUUCCCCACGCCACUGCUGCUGCUCCUCUACUUAAAACUGUUGCUUCUUCUCUCCCGCGCCCCUUGCUGUUCCUCACUAGCUGAACCUCUGAUCUGAACCUCCUCCUUCCGCUGCUUCCCUGCUUCUUCUCUGAAUCUCCCAAACGCUGCUGCUGCUACUUGCUCUCAAGCAUCCACUUACUGCUCAGUUUCAGACUUGUGUUCCUGUAGUGUUAAAUCGGUCAUAUGUGAAUGGUGUUGGGGCAUGUGACUCUAUGUUCUUGUAUGUGUUAAUUAGUUAAAUUUGUCACUUGAGUACUGCACUUGCUGCAUAGUCAUGUUUGUUCAAUUUAUAGUUCCUGUGUUGCUCAAAUACCUGUGAUAUAUGAAUGUGCGGGCGUGUGUUUGAUUUGAAACAAUUAUAUUCUGUCAUAUAUUGUCGCUUCUUCCUACUGUUAUAUGUUUGAUACUAAUGUGUCCUCGUCUUGUAGGUUUACUUGAUAUUGACUCCUGUUUGUGUUAGUAUCUUAUAAUUUCUCAAGUAUUACAAAAAUACCAAAAAGAAAGUUAGUAAAAUCUGAAUCUGCCUUUGCUUAUCAGCAUUUUCAUUGGCGACAAUCUUGAUAGUUUAGGUUUAUUCUCUGUUCCCAU